UACGUAGGGUGCAAGCGUUAAUCGGAAUUACUGGGCGUAAAGCGUGCGCAGGCGGUGAUGUAAGACAGUUGUGAAAUCCCCGGGCUCAACCUGGGAACUGCAUCUGUGACUGCAUCGCUGGAGUGCGGCAGAGGGGGAUGGAAUUCCGCGUGUAGCAGUGAAAUGCGUAGAUAUGCGGAGGAACACCGAUGGCGAAGGCAAUCCGCUGGGCCUGCACUGACGCUCAUGCACGAAAGCGUGGGGAGCAAACAGG
rnacentral:rRNA from 1 species